UCUCUCUCAUACGCACUUUUCUUUCUUUUUAUCAUAUUUUCUUUGUUUUUAUUUCCUCUAAGUUAUCAUCAUCACUACAACCUUUAAAGAAAACGGGACGAGGCAACGAAACCCAGACCGAGACAUCAAACAAUAGAAGCGAGAGAGAGCGAGCGAGUGACCUGCAAACAUUGACCUCCUGCCGCCCUCCCUGACCUGACCUCUGCCCGCCAUGACCUCCAGCGGCAAGAUAAAGGGUCAAAGGCUUCCUGGGAUGACCUGUGGACGUGUGGAAAGAGAGGAGUGAGGGAAGGAAGACUGCAAGGAAGGACGGACGGAAGGAAGGAAGGAAAGGAACACAGCAACCAUAUACACCAGCCCGUCCUUGAUGUCGGAAAACCAUCUGGAGGAAGAGGAGGAGGAGAAAGAGCUAUUGAGAGGAGACAUCACCCUGACCACAAGAGGAGAAAGAGCUACCUAGAGGAGACAUCACCCUAACCACAAGAGGAGAAAGA